rnacentral:rRNA from 1 species
UAGUAUUAGAGGCACUGCCUGCCCAGUGACACAYGUUUAACGGCCGCGGUACCCUGACCGUGCAAAGGUAGCAUAAUCACUUGUUCYUUAAAUAGGGACUCGCAUGAAUGGCAUCACGAGGGUUYAACUGUCUCUUACUUUUAACCAGUGAAAUUGACCUGUCCGUGAAGAGRCGGACAUGAAAUAAUAAGACGAGAAGACCCUGUGGAGCUUCAAUUUACYARUGCAACUAAAAACCACACAAACCUACCGGUUCCUAAACUCUCAUACCUGUGCUAAAAAUUUUGGUUGGGGCGACCUCGGAGCACAACCAAMCCUCCGAAAAAUCCAUGCUAAGACUACMCAAGCCUAAGCAAAUUAAUMCCUACAAUUGACCCAAUAAUUUGAUCAACGGAACAAGUUACCCCAGGGAUAACAGCGCAAUUCUAUUCUAGAGUCCAUAUCGACAAUAGAGUUUACGACCUCGAUGUUGGAUCAGGACAUCCUAAUGGUGCAGCAGCUGUCAAGGGUUCGUUUGUUCAACG